CCACGACUACGGUUUGGGGCACAUACCCGGCAAUGUCCCGACCGUUGAGGGGCUUCAGCGCAAGCUGAAGCCCCUUUCUUUUG
rnacentral:sRNA from 1 species